AGCGAUCCUCCUGCCUCGGCCUCCCAGAGUGCUGGGAUUACAGGAACAGUAACAAAAUCUGAGACCCUUCCAGAGUCAAACUGAAACACUAGUUCUUCCUGUUCUCAAGCUGCCAGCAUCAGGACUAGAACUUACACUGCCAGCUCUCUCGGGCCUCCACCCUGCUGACCCACUCUGCAGAUCCUGGGACUUGCCUGCCUCCGAAACUGUGCGAGCCAAUGCCUUAUCUGUUUUUUAAUAAAAAACUAUUGGUUCUGUUUC